rnacentral:sRNA from 1 species
AACCACCGGCUAUGCCGGUGGUACGGAAAAGCUUAAGCUAUGAAAAGAAACUCCUUCCAGUAAAAUGGCAGUGCGGUCUGGCAACUGCACGAACCAACAGAAGGAG